rnacentral:pre_miRNA from 1 species
AGUUGGAUACCUGGGUCAAAUGGUGGCACCAUUCCAAGUUUUCUGAGAAAUCUCCAUACUGCUUUAUAAAGUGGUUGCAACAAUUUGCAGUCCCACCAGCAAU